UGAUGCGUUCAACGAGCCUAUCCUUGGCCGAGAGGGCCCGGGUAAUCUUGGAAACCGCAUCGUGAUGGGGAUAGAUUAUUGCAAUUAUUAGUCUUCAACGAGGAAUGCCUAGUAAGCGCGAGUCAUCAGCUCGCGUUGAUUACGUCCCUGCCCUUUGUACACACCGCCCGUCGCUCCUACCGAUUGGGUGUGCUGGUGAAGUGUUCGGAUCGGCUUCAUCUGGUGGCAACAUCGGGUGUCGCUGAGAAGAUCAUUAAACCCUCCCACCUAGAGGAAGGAGAAGUCGUAACAAGGUUUCCGUAGGUGAACCUGCGGAAGGAUCAUUG
rnacentral:rRNA from 1 species